rnacentral:rRNA from 1 species
AUGAAGAUGGCGACUUGCUUUCGUAAGGUGGCCUCGGAGGAGUUUGGAGUGUCCAGGGGAAGGAGAAGCGAAGAUAAGGAUACCUGGUGGUGGAAUGAUGAUGUCCAGAAGGCGCUUAAAGAGAAGAAAGAUUGCUUCAGACGCCUAUACCUGGAUAGGAGUGCAGACAACAUAGAGAAGUACAAGAUGGCGAAGAAGGCCGCAAAGCGAGCUGUUGGUGAAGCAAGGGGUCGGGCAUAUGAGGACCUCUACCAACGGUUAGGCACGAAGGAAGGUGAAAGGGACAUAUAUAAGAUGGCUAAGAUCCGGGAGAGGAAGACGAGGGAUAUUGGCCAAGUCAAAUGCAUCAAGGACGGAGCAGGCCAACUCUUGGUGAAGGAUGAAGAGAUUAAGCAUAGAUGGCGGGAGUACUUCGAUAAGCUGUUCAAUGGGGAGAAUGAGAGUUCUACCAUUGAACUGAAUGACUCCUUUGAUGAGACCAGCAUGCGUUUUGUGCGGCGCAUCCAGGAGUCUGAGGUGAAGGAGGCUUUAAAAAGGAUGAAAGGAGGCAAGGUGAUGGGCCCUGAUUGUAUCCCCAUUGAGGUGUGGAAAGGUCUCGGGGACAUAGCGAUAGUAUGGCUAACCAAGCUUUUCAACCUCAUUUUUCGGGCAAACAAGAUGCCAGAAGAAUGUAGACGGAGUAUAUUAGUACCAAUCUUCAAGAACAAGGGGGAUGUUCAGAGUUGUACUAAUUACCGUGGAAUUAAGCUGAUGAGCCAUACAAUGAAGCUAUGGGAGAGAGUCAUUGAGCACCACUUAAGAAGAAUGACAAGCGUGACCAAAAAUCAGUUUGGUUUCAUGCCUGGGAGGUCGACCAUGGAAGCCAUUUUCUUGGUACGACAACUUAUGGAGAGAUAUAGGGAGCAUAAGAAGGACUUGCAUAUGGUGUUCAUUGACUUGGAGAAGGCCUAUGAUAAGAUACCGCGGAAUGUCAUGUGGUGGGCCUUGGAGAAACACAAAGUCCCAGCAAAGUACAUUACCCUCAUCAAGGACAUGUACAAUAAUGUUGUGACAAGUGUUCGAACAAGUGAUGUCGACACCGAUGACUUCCCGAUUAAGAUAGGACUGCAUCAGGGGUCAGCUUUGAGCCCUUAUCUUUUUGCAUUGGUGAUGGAUGAGGUCACAAGGGGUAUACAAGGAGAUAUCCCAUGGUGUAUGCUCUUUGCGGAUGAUGUGGUGCUAGUUGACGAUAGUCGGACGGGGGUAAAUAGGAAGUUAGAGUUAUGGAGACAAACCUUGGAAUCGAAAGGGUUUAGGCUUAGUAGAACUAAAACCGAGUACAUGAUGUGCGGUUUCAGUACUACUAGCUAUGAGGAGGAGGAGGUUAGCCUUGAUGGCCAGGUGGUACCUCGGAAGGACACCUUUCGGUAUUUGGGGUCAAUGUUGCAGGAGGAUGGGGGUAUUGAUGAAGAUGUGAACCAUCGAAUCAAAGCCGGAUGGAUGAAGUGGCGCCAAGCUUCUGGCAUUCUCUGUGACAAGAGAGUGCCACAAAAGCUAAAAGGCAAGUUCUACAGGACGGCGGUUCGACCCGCAAUGUUGUAUGGCGCGGAGUGUUGGCCGACUAAAAGGCGACAUGUUCAACAGUUAGGUGUGGCGGAGAUGCGUAUGUUGAGAUGGAUGUGUGGCCACACGAGGAAGGAUCGAGUCCGGAAUGAUGAUAUACGAGAUAGAGUUGGGGUAGCACCAAUUGAGGAGAAGCUUGUCCAACAUCGUUUGAGAUGGUUUGGGCAGAUUCAGCGCAGGCCUCCAGAAGCUCAGUGCAUAGCGGACGGCUAA